UUCCUGACUAACAUUGCUCCACGAUAAGUUUCAUUCACGCUACAGCAAUUCUUGUUAAUUUAAAGACACUGAGUAUCUACGAGCUAAACGUACCAUUUAAGAAGAUUUUCAGAAAGCUGUGAAUCCAUUGUUCUUACUUAAGUCUUGAUUUACAGUGGACGUCUAACAGUUUAGCAGAUUCACCGUACGAAGUCAUUCUCUCAUAAUUGUAGCACUAACAAUGAAUUCAGUUGGGAUAAAAUAAAGAAGCGCACCGUAUUUCUUUUAAAAGUGAUAUUACGUUCUACUUUUCUCAAUGGAUCGAUCUUUAAAACUCGCUAAAUGAAUAUGGAACAACAACGCAUUCCAAAGAAUUUAAACGUAAACAAACACUUGAAUUACAGGGCUACAAUUGACAAGUUUAUUUCGAGAGUUAAAAGAUUAUUCGUUUGAUUAAUGAUCACAAAUUUAAAUUUUUUUAAAUAUAUUAUCUCCGGCUAAAUUAGUGUGAAUUGACAAACUACCUCGUCUUUUUUUU